rnacentral:lncRNA from 1 species
AAGGUUGAUAUUUUCUAGUUUACACGAAGAAGCUUAAUAUAUAGGAUUUGCAUUUACUAUUUGUUGAGUGUUUGACAUAAUUUCAGGAAAGAAGGCCAAGUUAAAAAGACAUGCAUAUGUAAUACAUCAUAUAAGGGACAUGAAAAAUACCACUUGGAUCCCGGGGAAGAUGUGUUACCUUCUGAUAAUUUUGGAGAAAUACAGGAAUGCUUCACAAAAGAUGUAGAAUUUUCUGGUUUCUUCACCUGAAGAAACAUUCCAGUUGUAAGAACUGUCAUGAAUAAAAACAUAAAGGCAAAAACACACCGAAGGUAAUGAAUAUAAUUUAUAACCAAAGCGUAAAUUUCUUUUGUAGUGGUGUUAGUCCACUAAGUCCAAUAAGAUAUGAGAUUGAAAAUAUAAUUGAGUAGGAUAUUUUAACACCCAGUAUUGACAAGCCUUGAAGACUUCCUCUACUUCUCAUCGUUGUCCCUCUUUGUCAAAUGUUAUAACUCCAUGAGCAAAAACCAUGUCUACAUUUGUAAAGAAAAAACAAAAAAUUGAGAAUAUGUAUAAAGUUUGCAUCCACUUGAAAAAAAUCGAUAGGGCUACAUAUUAAAUUAGUGGCAUAAAAUUAUUAAGCAUUUUACUGGCUUCAACACAUUUCGAUGUUUAAUUUUUAAAUCUCAUGUACAGCUAAGUGUUUAUGGAUACUCCUGGCCCUGCAUGGUAGCCAGAGUGUCGUCAGCUCAAAGCCACCAGGUGCUUCAAUCUUGGUUCAGUCUGCCUGCAGUCCAAUAAGGGACAUGAAAUCCAGAUUAUUUCUGUCUGAUGCACAACUCCUCAAACAGGCUCAGAAAACAAUCGCCAUCUUCACAUGUAAAUAUGUUCACCAUUCCUUCCCCAUCUCACCAACACAUAAUCCCCAAAAUAAAAUGACAUGUGAAAAUGAAAGUAACAGAGUGUAUUACCUUUCUAUGAGUACUUGAAAUCUUUAUUUAAAAUAAACUGGACAGAAAACAAAAAGGUACA